UGUGGGCUUAUGGGACUCGGCGACUCGUUGUCUAAAUCUAUUUUCAGCUACAGCUAUUUUCUUCGAAAGUUACAAAUGAACACAUAGGUUAAUUCGAGUGAUUUCAUUUGUAACUUGUCUGUGAUGUGUUCUAUUCCUUGUACAUGUUGGAUAACCUUAGUGUUGUUUCUCAUCAACUGACAGAAGGAAACGUAGCCUACCGUUGACUAUUUUGUUCAAAAUGUGCCAUCGAAAUGACACAGGAUUCAUCAUAAUUAUCUGCUGUAAGAAUUUGACUUGCUAUAUCACCAACCCCAUCACGGACCAAUCUCUCAUUCCAUCUUCUAGGGAACCUUAGCUAACUGUUUGGUGGUUUCAUGUGUUUGAAACUACACAUGGUUUCUAAAUUUGC